AUUGAACGCUGGCGGCAUGCCUUACACAUGCAAGUCGAACGGUAGGGUAGCAAUACCUGAGAGUGGCGAACGGGUGAGUAAUGCAUCGGAACAUGCCUAUUUGUGGGGGAUAGCCCGGCGAAAGCCGGAUUAAUACCGCAUACGAUCUACGGAUGGAAGCUGGGGACCGCAAGGCCUAGCGCAAAUAGAGUGGCCGAUGUCAGAUUAGCUAGUUGGUGGGGUAAAGGCUCACCAAGGCAACGAUCUGUAGCUGGUUUGAGGGAACGACCAGCCACACUGGGACUGAGACACGGCCCAGACUCCUACGGGAGGCAGCAGUGGGGAAUAUUGGACAAUGGGCGGAAGCCUGAUCCAGCCAUGCGGCGUGUGUGAAGAAGGCCUUUUGGUUGUAAAGCACUUUAAGCGAGGAGGAGGCUACCUGGAUUAAUACUCUAGGAUAGUGGACGUUACUCGCAGAAUAAGCACCGGCUAACUCUGUGCCAGCCGCCGCGGUAACAC
rnacentral:rRNA from 1 species